GGGGAUAUAGCUCAGUGGUAGUGUGUGUGCUUCGCAUGCAUAGGUCCUCGGUUCAAUCCCCAGUACCUCCA
rnacentral:tRNA from 1 species